UUUAAGCAUUUUUUCGGAGUACAACAAUUCUAACUAAAUUCAAUUGCAAUAAUCACAUACGAGAGUAGAGUCAGUGUGUGCUGCGCAUAUUUUUAUUAAAUAAAUUUGUGCACGAUAUUAGAGUCUGUGUUGUUCGCCGAGUAUAAUUUAAACGGAUGCGUUAAUAGUGUAGUCCUUCAUUUUUUUUUUAAUCUACAUAUAUACAUACUUUUGUGCGUCUUUCGAGAUUCUUCGAUGCUUCAAAAGUCAAUAAUAUUUUUCGAGGGAUCCACUUCAGUGGGGUCAAUGGUUCCUGCUUGGCGGCUAUUUUCAUGGUGAUGGUCUCCAAGGUGGCUACUCCCGUGCUUGCAGUCCCCAUGAUGACAUCCUUCGCAUCUAAUGGUUUAGCCUCCCGCGUCGGUUCCUCUGAAAAUUCCUUUUGUUACUUUGCACAACGGUAAGAAAUUAAACGUUCUGCAAAUGUACACCACAUGAGAAUUUAUUUAAAAAUAGAUAAACUUUUGGAACGCGUUUUCAUAUAAAAGGUUUAUUAGAUUA